rnacentral:rRNA from 1 species
CAAUAGCGUAUAUUAAAGUUGUUGCAGUUAAAAAGCUCGUAGUUGGAUUUCUGGUGGGAGCGAUCGGUCUGGCGCUUAGCGCGAGUACUUGCAUCGUCUCCGGCCAUCCUUGGGGAGAGUCUGUCUGGCAUUAAGUUGUCGGGCAGAGGAUCCUCAUCGUUUACUGUGAAGAAAUUAGAGUGUUCAAAGCAGGCUUAUGCCGUUGAAUAUAUUAGCAUGGAAUAAUAAGAUAGGACUUUGGUACUAUUUUGUUGGUUUGCGCACCAAAGUAAUGAUUAAUAGGGACAGUUGGGGGUAUUCGUAUUCCGUUGUCAGAGGUGAAAUUCUUGGAUUUACGGAAGACGAACUACUGCGAAAGCAUUUACCAAGGAUGUUUUCAUUAA